AACGAACGCUGGCGGCAUGCCUAACACAUGCAAGUCGAACGAGAUCUUCGGGUCUAGUGGCGCACGGGUGCGUAACGCGUGGGAAUCUGCCCUUUGGUUCGGAAUAACAGUUGGAAACGACUGCUAAUACCGGAUGAUGACGAAAGUCCAAAGAUUUAUCGCCAGAGGAUGAGCCCGCGUAGGAUUAGCUAGUUGGUGUGGUAAAGGCGCACCAAGGCGACGAUCCUUAGCUGGUCUGAGAGGAUGAUCAGCCACACUGGGACUGAGACACGGCCCAGAAUCCUACGGGAGGGAGCAGUGGGGAAUAUUGGACAAUGGGCGAAAGCCUGAUCCAGCAAUGCCGCGUGAGUGAUGAAGGCCUUAGGGUUGUAAAGCUCUUUACCCGGGAUGAUAAUGACAGUACCGGGAGAAUAAGCUCCGGCUAACUCCGUGCCAGCCGCCGCGGUAA
rnacentral:rRNA from 1 species